AUUGAACGCUGGCGGCAGGCUUAACACAUGCAAGUCGAGCGGAGAUGAGGUGCUUGCACCUUAUCUUAGCGGCGGACGGGUGAGUAAUGCUUAGGAAUCUGCCUAUUAGUGGGGGACAACAUUCCGAAAGGAAUGCUAAUACCGCAUACGCCCUACGGGGGAAAGCAGGGGAUCUUCGGACCUUGCGCUAAUAGAUGAGCCUAAGUCGGAUUAGCUAGUUGGUGGGGUAAAGGCCUACCAAGGCGACGAUCUGUAGCGGGUCUGAGAGGAUGAUCCGCCACACUGGGACUGAAACACGGCCCAGACUCCUACGGGAGGCAGCAGUGGGGAAUAUUGGACAAUGGGCGGAAGCCUGAUCCAGCCAUGCCGCGUGUGUGAAGAAGGCCUUUUGGUUGUAAAGCACUUUAAGCGAGGAGGAGGCUACCUGGAUUAACACUCUAGGAUGGUGGACGUUACUCGCAGAAUAAGCACCGGCUAACUCUGUGCCAGCAGCCGCAGUAACAC
rnacentral:rRNA from 1 species